GAAAAGAGGAAUAUGUGGAUGAGUUUUGCACCUUAAACUGCCUCAUACCUCAAGCCACAGCAUUUGCGGCUCCCCCAUGCCCCCCUCCCAUCCCCUUCUUAGGAGAGCCUUUAAUAUGUAAAUGCCAGUGAUCAGGUCGGGAGCUGCUACAGUCAAUUUCAAGUGGGGUGGGGUGGGGUGAGGUCAGGUGGGUGGGAGGGAGUGGGGGGUCGGCAGGCCUGUUUCUAGGAUUUUGGGGUCCCUAGGCAACGGGAUUGUUGGGGGCCCUAGGGCAUUUUUUGGCCUUUUACUAAAAUGUGUGUGUGUGUGUGUGUGUGUGUGUGUGUGUGUGUGUGUGUGUGUGUGUGUGUGUGUGUGUGUGUGUGUGUGUGUGUGUGUGUGUGUGUCUGUAUGUAUGUUUGUUCACGCUGCCCAGUGGUGUUUUUCAGAAUCACUAACCAUUAAACCAGGGGUAGUGAACCUAUGUCUCGAGGGCCCUUGAGGCCGUUUUAUCCGGCCCCUGAUAUCAUUAUAAUGUUUUGCAACUUCACAUGAAAUAGGCCUAUGACAUAUUUUGCAGGCCUAAAGGAAUCUUAGAAAUUACAUUUCCAAUGCAAUUAAGUUAGGCCUAUAUUCAGGGGACCUAGAAAAGGUGGGGACUGUUUUAAAUGUGUCUACCUUUAAAGGUGUCUAUAUGUCUAUAUAGGCCUAAAGGUGUCUAUAUAUGCCUAAAUUUCAUGGGGAAAUCCUGAUUUGUGUUCAUAGUACGGCCCCCGGAGGAUUUUAUGACCAUGGUAGGAAUUUGAAGUGGCCCUUCGAAUGAAAAAGGUUCCCCACCCCUGCAUUAAACCUUUCUUCUAGCCACAGCUCUGCUGUCAGUACAUUUUAUUAUGAUACUAUAAGCUCAGAAAUGAAGUUGAUCGAACAAUCCGAUCGGUGCUAUAAACAUUUAAAUGAACCGAAUAGAAAUCAGAAUAGAAACAUCUGAAUGAUCUUUCUUGGACAUAGCCUACAUUUUGAAGUGACCCUUUGAAUUAAAAAGGUUCCUCACCCCUGCUUUUGAGGAAAAACAUCAAUGUGCUUGGCCACUCUGGUUUUUAAAUUAUUCUGAACUAAAGCAAGGAUUGUUCAAGGAAGUUCAAAACAGACUGUCUCUGGUUAAAUUAGUUCUACACCAAGCCUUUAGGUGGCAGUACAACUAAUUCGCACAAUGCGAAUUCCACACACAAGCCACAAAGAAGCCAUCUACCGCGGUCAACAACACCGACCUAUCUGAACAGAACCACGCGCUGUCUGUGUGGUUUCACUGUUACAAGUUUCUUGGCGACAUGGGGGAAAGUUCCUCACAUACCAACGGAAAAUGGGCUUCACAUACAUGUAAGUAAAUUUUACUCAACUGUGGUUUAAAGUUUCAGUACUCAAGAGCGAUUGAAUAGCUCCUCUGAACACAGAUCCGCCAUUGCUAAGUUGUAGCACAAGUCCCCUCAAUGAAUGUGACUACUCUUGUUGCUGCUGUACGCUAGUCAAUUCUGAUAACUUGCGAGCAUCGUAAUGACAAAAUGCAGUAGUGAAACGGUGAAUAUGUUAAGUAUACUUGUUGAUGGUAAGUUGUUUGACAUUGCUCGUUCUCAAUUGCCUUUCCCCUGCCUAAAGAUGAUUCCCAGUUUGUCGCUCCCAGCGCGGUUCGAUCCCCAGUCGGUUCGCUCCCACUAGCCAGACUAUCGAGCCCACCGAGCUAGUUAUCUUUUUGAUGUUAGUUUUUUGUUACGUACCCUAAACCUAACCCUUACCUUAAUCCUAAACCUAACCCUAAAUUGCUUGUAUGUGGUAGUGUAUGAUAAUACGAGAAAUGUAAUCGGGUGGGAUAGAACGCCUGGGAUUGAUAGGGUCACCUGGGACUACACGUCCGGGAGUGAUCUUACAUGGGAGUGACCAUCUCCCAGCGCUUAAGAUUGACAAAGGCUACCGUUAGCAUGCUAUUGCGUUAGCUCAUCAACUAGUUGCUGGGCACUGCUCAUUUUUCACGUCUGCCCGGCAUUUCGCUGAUGAACUAACGCUUGGACGUCUUGCCAAUGUAUUUUACAGCGGCAAAAAUGCAUCUAGGCGACGUUGGCAAGAUUGGUGUGCCGUCUGGGUAUGUUGGUUUUCAGUGCUGGGCAGUAGCGAAGCGACUAGUUUAAUUACAUUCCCUAGUAGCUUGGUCGUAGCGUCAUUACUAUGUAUCGACUAACGUCCCUGUAGUUAGGAAAUAAAUAGUUUGGAAAUCAAUGUGAAAUACCCUGGCAUUUGCAACAGUAGGCAACCUGUCCUUAAAAAGUAUGGGCCCUCAAAACAGCACUUGUUGCACAAAUAAGUGUUGCAUAGAGCAGUCUUUCCCAACCAGGGGUACGUGUACCACUAGGGGUACGCGAGCACCCUGCAGGGGGUACUUGGAAAAAUGAAAACAUGUAUGGAGCAUAGUCACAUUGGGAUAUAAAGCAUGAGUCAGGGGGUACUUGUGGUAUGAGAAAAGGCUUAGGGGGUACUUAAGACAAAAAAAGGUUGGGAAACACUGGCAUAGAGCACGCCACCCCGAAAUCAAUGUGAAAUACCCUGGCAUUUGCAACAGUAGGCAGCAUGUCCUUAAAACGUAUGGGUCCUCAAAACAGCACUUGUUGCACAAAUAAGUGUAGCUGGCCUCUUCAAGAAAUUGAAAUUAUGCAUGGUCACUUUUUCUUAUUGUUUCACGUGGAGGUCUACUGACAUUGUCUAAAUAAUGUAGGCUAGUUUAUGUCCAUGUAUUAUAUUAGGACCCAAGGUUAAUGGGUUAUUCUGUUUACCAUGUUUUCACAGGCUGCUGUCUCAUAAUAUGGCGAAGACGAGUCACUUGAAGGCCUAACAGCUCUUAUGAGGAGCAGUCUUGCCAUAGAAGACUGAAAGAAUGAGCUGUAGAAACAACAGGGUGCCUGCUGCAGUAUGACGAGGACGCCCUGAUCAUAGAAGGUCCAGUGUCUUGGCAGGGUGAAAUGGCACUGAUAUCGUGUCCUGCAGGAUGCUGUGUCCUGCAAUCCUGUGUGCUGUGCUACAGACGCGUGUGGAGGUCAACCCGAAAUGGGCACAGUAGCGUGAAAGAGGCUCCCAGAAGUGAGACUGAGUGCCUGUUGCAGUAUGACGAGGAAGCAGUGACCAGAGACCUUCAGUAGACCCUGCUGGCAUGAUUGGCGGCUGAAGAACAUAAUCAACAGCAAUGUUUAUAAUAUUGUACAUACCUGUAUAGUCUGCACUAAAAUGCUGUACCUGUACUAUUUUUCCUCUUACUUUCAUAUUUACUAUGAAUUGACAACUUUUACUCAAAUCCAUUUUUGUAUGUGCCCUGACUAAAACUAUCCUUAAACCUAACCUGUCAGAGGUGUAAUAACAACCUGCUCUUAGCAAUGUGGCAGCAGUCUACUUGGAUGCAGCGGGGAACAUAGAACCCUUUUUUUGGAAAAGCAUUGUAUGUUUCUGAGUUUUAUGAAUUGUGCCCUUC